AGCGUUAAUCGGAUUUACUGGGCGUAAAGCGUGCGCAGGCGGUUCGGAAAGAAAGAUGUGAAAUCCCAGGGCUCAACCUUGGAACUGCAUUUUUAACUACCGGACUAGAGUAUGUCAGAGGGAGGUGGAAUUCCACGUGUAGCAGUGAAAUGCGUAGAUAUGUGGAGGAACACCGAUGGCGAAGGCAGCCUCCUGGGAUAAUACUGACGCUCAUGCACGAAAGCGUGGGGAGCAAACAGGAUUAGAUACCCUGGUAGUCCACGCCCUAAACGAUGUCAACUAGCUGUUGGGGCCUUCGGGCCUUGGUAGCGCAGCUAACGCGUGAAGUUGACCGCCUGGGGAGUACGGU
rnacentral:rRNA from 1 species